CACUGGACAUCAUAUGGUGAAUGCACCAACUUGUAAGUCGCUCUGGAUAAGAGCGUCUGCUAAAUGACUUAAAUGUAAAUGUAAAUAAAGGUUAAAUA